GUUGUCCGGAUGUAUUGGGCGUAAAGAGCGUGUAGGCGGCUGGGUAGGUCCGUUGUGAAAACUCUGGGCUCAACUCAGAGCCUGCAAGCGAAACUGUGGUGCUGGAGUAUGGGAGAGGUGCGUGGAAUUCCCGGUGUAGCAGUGAAAUGCGUAGAGAUCGGGAGGAACAUCUGUGGCGAAGGCGGCCACCUGGACCAGCACUGACACUGAGGCACGAAAGCGUGGGGAGCAAACAGG
rnacentral:rRNA from 1 species